GACGAACGCUGGCGGCGUGCUUAACACAUGCAAGUCGAACGGUAAGGCCCUUCGGGGUACACGAGUGGCGAACGGGUGAGUAACACGUGGGUGAUCUGCCCUGCACUUCGGGAUAAGCCUGGGAAACUGGGUCUAAUACCGGAUAGGACCCUGGGAUGCAUGUCCUGGGGUGGAAAGCUUUUGCGGUGUGGGAUGGGCCCGCGGCCUAUCAGCUUGUUGGUGGGGUGAUGGCCUACCAAGGCGACGACGGGUAGCCGGCCUGAGAGGGUGACCGGCCACACUGGGACUGGGAUACGGCCCAGACUCCUACGGGAGGCAGCAGUGGGGAAUAUUGCGCAAUGGGCGCAAGCCUGAUGCAGCGACGCCGCGUGAGGGAUGACGGCCUUCGGGUUGUAAACCUCUUUCAGCACCGACGAAGCGCAAGUGACGGUAGGUGCAGAAGAAGGACCGGCCAACUACGUGCCAGCCGCCGCGGUAA
rnacentral:rRNA from 1 species